GCUCCGUUAAAGGUAUAUAAAUAGUUCACAUUUAUUAGUUAACCUUUAGAUUCAAAUUGGGCAAAUACCGGCGUUGAAAUCUCUGAACACAAUGAAGGUCAUCGUUUUCUUGCUUCUGACCGGUGCAGCCUGCGUUAUUGCCGAGCAGUGCACAACCAACACAGACUGUCAAAACGGCGGUACUAGAUGCGCAACCGGAUAUCAUGUGAUAUGUGAACACACCGGGACAGAGGGCGUGACCGCGAACGGAGGUCUCUGCACAUGCGCAGCCGAUGAUACAAGUUGCAGGACACGUGCCGACUGCCUUGCCCAGAAUUACACGUGUAUUUCCAACGACCACAAGCAUUGCUACGAUGGCAAGUGCAUCUGCUCUCGAUGGUAGAGGGUGUGCCGUCAUCGUUCAACGUUACGUCAUCAUUAUGUGAUUGUCAUUGUGGUGAUAGGAAUAAACGCGUUUGCUCACGAAAAUUGUAGUAUUCGUUUGUAGUUUUUGUUCUAGAUAUAUAUUUAAGAUUAAAUAAAUGUUUGUGUUGAUUUCCGACGUGUAAACAAUAGUGUUAUCAAAUCAUGUCUUUCCGAAAAAAGUAUUUCGUUUGACCUUGUAACAAGUUUCAUCAUAUUUAAACGGCCAUCACACUAAAUUUCUCUGACAGAUCCGAAGUUUUUGUAACCACGACAGGAAAUACGAUUCACAAUGCGUUGCGUCGUAGCUUUGGUUAUUUUGUCAGUGGUGGCGCUAAACAACGCGGAGCAAUGUACUGUAAAUGGCGACUGUAGAAGCGUAAACUGCACUACCGGAUACCACGUGGUCUGUGAGCACAAACAAGGCGCCGGCGUGGUCACGAAUGGAGGACUUUGCACAUGCGCAUUGGACGAUUUGACGUGCACCCGACGGGAGGACUGCCUAGACAAGAUCACUUGCAUUUCGGACGGCCACAAGCAUUGUUAUGACAACAAGUGUAUCUGCAGCAGAUGGUGAUCACGUGAUCCAGUAGUUGUUGUUGUACCGAUGUGUGUCAGGAACUAAAGCUAUUGAAUACAGUAAA